UUGGUCAUGCUAGAAAGAGCGUAUGGUGGAUGCCUUGGCACUAAGAGCCGAUGAAAGACGUGAUAAGCUGCGAAAAGCUUCGGGGAGGAGCAAAUAUCCAUUGAUCCGGAGAUCUCUGAAUGGGGAAACCCACUUGAGCAAACCUCAAGUAUCCUAACGCCAAUACAUAACGUUAGGAGGGGAACCCGGUGAACUGAAACAUCUAAGUAGCCGGAGGAAGAGAAAACAACAUGUGAUUCUGUGAGUAGCGGCGAGCGAAAACGGAAGAGCCCAAACCGGGAUGCGUGCAUCCCGGGGUUCGGACCGCAUAAUUGAUUCAACAAAUUUAGCAGAACGGUUUUGGGAAAGCCGGCCAGAGAGGGUGAAAGCCCCGUAAGCGAAAGAUGAGUUGACAUGGCGGUAUCCAGAGUAGGUCGAGACACGUGGAACCUUGACUGAACAUGCGGGGACCACCCCGUAAGGCUAAAUACUCCUUAGUGACCGAUAGCGCAUAGUACUGUGAAGGAACGGUGAAAAGGACCCCGGGAGGGGAGUGAAACAGAACCUGAAACCAUAUGUUUACAAGCUGUGGAACCACUUUAUAUGUGGAACCGCGUACUUUUUGUAGAACGGUCCGGCGAGUUGCGCUGGCUGGCGAGGUUAAGCACCAAAGGUGUGGAGCCGAAGGGAAACCAAGUCUUAAUAGGGCGAAUGAGUCAGUCGGAGCAGACCCGAAACCGGGUGAUCUAUCCAUGUCCAGGUUGAAGUUGCCGUAAAAGGCAAUGGAGGACCGAACCCACAUCCGUUGAAAAGGGUGGGGAUGAGGUGUGGAUAGGGGAGAAAUUCCAAUCGAACCCGGAGAUAGCUGGUUCUCCUCGAAAUAGCUUUAGGGCUAGCCUCAUAUAAGUCUUGCGGAGGUAGAGCACUGAAUUUCCUAGGGGGCGUCAAAGCUUACCGAAGAAUAUCAAACUCCGAAUGCCGUGUAGAUGUUGUAUGGGAGUCAGACUGUACGAGAUAAGUUGGACAGUCAAAAGGGAAAGAGCCCAGACCUGCAGCUAAGGCCCCAAAAUGUGUGUUAAGUGGAAAAGGAUGUGGGAUUUCAAAGACAACUAGGAUGUUGGCUUAGAAGCAGCCAUACAUUCAAAGAGUGCGUAAUAGCUCACUAGUCGAGAGGUCCUGCGCCGAAAAUGUCCGGGGCUGAAACACACUGCCGAAGCUCAGGAAUUAACUGAUGUUAAUUGGUAGAGGAGCAUUGUAUACGGGACGAAGCAGUACCGAUAAGGAGCUGUGGACUGUAUAGAAGAGAGAAUGCCGGAAUGAGUAGCGAGAGGAAGGUGAGAAUCCUUCCGGCCGAAUAUCUAAGGUUUCCAGAGUAAAGCUGAUCUGCUCUGGGUAAGUCGGGGCCUAAGGCCAGGUCGAAAGACGUAACCGAUGGACAACAGGUUGAAAUUCCUGUACCUUAAGUAAACAGAACUGUGGGGACACGUGUGGAGAGCACAAGCCGGAAAUGGAAAAGCCGGUGCAAGCG
rnacentral:rRNA from 1 species